ACUCUCGGCAACGGAUAUCUCGGYYCACGCAUCGAUAAAAAAAGUAUCAAAAUGCGAUACUUGGUGUGAAUUGCAGAAUCCCGUGAACCAUCGAGUUUUUGAACGCAAGUUGCGCCCAAAGCAUUUGGUUGAGGGCACGUCUGCCUGGGCGUCACUCAUCGUGUCGC
rnacentral:rRNA from 1 species